rnacentral:lncRNA from 1 species
GGAUGGACGGUGACAAUACGGAUGGAGGAAGGAAUCAAUUUGGUGUUGGAGCAGCAAGAAUUAUUUUAAGUUUCUGAUUUAGGAGGUUCCUUACUAUCAGGAGUUAAGAAUAACCGACUAUUAGUGGUUUGCUCCUUAUUUUUUCACAGCCGGAGCAAUUUUUUCAGCUCGUCUGUCAAAGGACCAUGGUAAGUAUGGAAUCCUGAUCACUGCCAGUCAGCAUUUUUUUCCUGCUCUAGACAGAACUUUGGUCCUAUCCAAACAGUAAGGGGGAAAGGACCUUUACACUUCAAGAUAGGAGUUAUGAGAGGCUUGCAGCUUGUUUGUCUUAUCUGCAUGGGUAUUAAUGUUCUCUGAAGAAACUAUGCUUAAGGGAGACACUUUAUUUUGAAAUGAUGUGCCAGAUUUUGUUAGCUGCAGGAAAUGGAUUUACUCUAGAAUUUAAAGCUGUCUUACACAUUGAGUAGUUAAGACAGUGCAUAAGUAAAAUACUUAAAUCUAAAGAAGCAACCUUGUCCACAGACUGUAAUAAUUCCUAUUUCUAGAGAUGUUUUGUGCUGUAUUGUUGUCAGAUAUAUUAACUGGAAAAGUCAAUCUUCAGGUAAAGCUCAACGUGUCAACCUGAUCUAAGAACAGCACUGUGUGUAACUCAUCGUCACGUACAGGUUACAAGCUGAUGUGCUGCCUUCUGGCCUAAAUUCUGCAGCACAUUGUGUUGUGCAUUCAAGGAACCUGGUGACAACCAAGAUUUUGGAAGGAACUGAUGCUUAAGCCACACGAGUCUAAGAACCAAAGUUAGAUCAGUGGUUCUCAAGCAAAGGUAGAAACCCUUGCUUCCAGAGAACGCAGGGGAGUGUUAAGGACACCUUUGUAGU